rnacentral:lncRNA from 1 species
GGAUAUGUCCUUGAGAAAAUGGACGAUGAUGCAUUUCUUCAGAGAUGAAUUGUGGAACAGACCCUUAAUAUAAGGGAUGCAAAAAUAGAAAUGCAUUUGAAUCAACUGACAUGUCUGUAGAUGAUAAUUCAAACAGGUAACUUAACUGCCUUGUUGCAACAGACAUUAAAAAUAAAUAACUGAAUUCCUGUUGCACUUCUGUGACAAGCGGGCCUUUUAAGUCCAAUGCAUCGAAGCCACCUUCUGUACUAUUGUAAAUUACAGAACUUUUAACAUAUGUUAAAUGACUAUAAUCACAACCCAUGAACAAACUAAAAAGAGAAGAGCAAUACUCAACAGCCAAAAUACCACCAGGUAAAUGGUGAACACACACAAAUCUGAUGGCCAAACCAAACCACAAGGCAGCACCAUGCAACACACUAGUAAUCAUCACACUGCCACUGUCGACAGCAAGGUAACUAGAUAUAUUCACAAUUCAACCAAAAUUACCCCCACAAGGUAAGCAAUGGUGAACACACAAAAUUGAUGGCUAAACCACAGGGCAGCACUAUGCUCCACACUAGCAAUUAUCGCACUGCCACUGUCCACAACAAGGAAGCUAGAUAUACUCACAUAUUGAACCAAAAUUACCACCAGAGGAAGACAAAGCAAUGGUGAAUGGUGAACACACACAAAACUGAUGGCCAAACCACAAGGCAGCACUAUGCUCCACACUAGCAAUCAUCGCAUUGCCACUGUCUACAGCAAGGUGACAAGGUAUAUUCACAGUUUCAGACACAUCUAGGUAUGAAAUAACACAUAUCUAGAACAAACCAACCACUCAAUCGCUUGGAAUGAAGUGACUUCUACUUGCAAGUGACAAAGAUCACACACCUCAACAAUAAACACAUGACAAACAGCAAUAGCAAAAUAUCUAUUGGCCAGUAACACCUGCAAUAAAGGGUUAACCUAAAGAACACAGGUAUAAACAAGAUACAUGUUCUAUGAUCUUGCCACCAUCAGAACAACAAAGCAUAGACAUGAAAUAGAUUAACGUCAUCAGAAUGACCAAAAUUUAAGCUCGCAUCCCAUCUCAGCAAUAGACGAUCAAAUAUCCAGGAAACAUAACAUAAUACUCCAAGAUUUCAGUUUUCAAAGACAAACGGGACACAUAUAAAUGAGUUCGAUUUUAGCAGAGCAAACGCAAGCCACCUCUAAGCCUUCUGGUUGUAGACGUAGGUGAGGCCGCACUUGCCGCAGUAGUGGCGGUCGAAGUGGUUGGCCAUGAAGGUCCCGGCGCCGCACUCGGCGUUGGGGCACUCCUUCCUGAGCCUGGUGACCUUGCCGGUGGCGUCGUCGACCUUGUAGAACUGGAGGACGGCGAGCUUCACCUUCUUGUGCUUGUGCUUUUGCUUCUUGGGCUUGGUGUAGGUCUUCUUCUUGCGCUUCUUGGCGCCACCGCGGAGGCGGAGCACCAGGUGGAGCGUGGACUCCUUCUGGAUGUUGUAGUCGGCGAGGGUGCGGCCGUCCUCGAGCUGCUUGCCGGCGAAGAUGAGGCGCUGCUGGUCCGGCGGGAUCCCCUCCUUGUCCUGGAUCUUGGCCUUGACGUUGUCGAUGGUGUCCGACGACUCCACCUCCAGCGUGAUGGUCUUGCCCGUCAGGGUCUUCACGAAGAUCUGCAUCUUGGCGGCGGCGGGGUGGUCGCCUCCGCGCGCUGCGGCGGCGACGGUGGCGGCGGCGGCGGCGCGGUGGGGUUUGGUUGGGCGGCGCGGUGGGAAUGGAGGCUAGGGAGAAGGAAGAGUCAGGCUUUCUAUAAGUACAGUCGGCAGGAGAAUAUGAGCCGUUGGAUCUAGGGGUUCAAGAUCAUACGGCUGUCUUUUGUGGACGGUAUUUUGGGCUGGGCUGGAUCGGAUUGAUUUGCUUGUGGCCCAUGCCACGUGAGGAGGGUUCGUUCCACAGUCAAUAUGAACAUGUAAAUUUUCUUUGUCUCAAUUUUUUUUGUAAAUUCCAUUCUUUGAGAAACAAAAUACCGUCCACAAGCAAAAUCAAUCCAUUCUUUGUCUCAAAAAAAUUGAAAAUUCCUUAAAAGAAUAUAUAUCCCAUUCACUUGCCCAAAAAAGUGUAAAUUCCAUUUACCCCUAGAAAUUAUUUUUUUUAAAUAUAUAAACACAAAAGAAUUUACAGAUUCGACAUUGGUUACUUGCAAGCCUCGAACUUGCAUUUGAGAUGUACACGCUCUUGAAUUCCUAUGAAAACCAAGCAAGGACGCUCCAAAUUAGAGAAGGGACUGCGGAAUGUAUUCGGCUUCGAUUCCAUACCACAACCAUCCAUCCAAAUAACGACAUUCAGGCUGUCCCAAUGCCAAUAUCCAAUUGUAAACCCCAAUAUCAGCACUCAAACGGUGCCCAGAGUGAUAUUUAGUUUUCAUCCAAUUUUAGUGGUGUUUGCACCAUGAAAUUUGAUUCCACCGUGUGGCAACCAUCACUCAUGGUUUGUUACUUAGCAACAACAUUCUGGGCAA